UGGGGCCUGCUCCUCUGAUCACUUCCGGUCGAGGGGGGGGAGCGUGAGCGCACGCACAUGCGCACUGAGCGGGUGACUUGAGAUGGGCGCAUCCAGGGCGCUCCCUGCUCUGCUUCGCCGGGAGGCUGACUCCUAUGGUGCUCAUGCUCCCCCUUGGCUGUCCGCAUCUCCGAAGAGGGUUCUUCUGUUGAACCCUCUAACAAGAGACCGAGGAGGAACUGAAGUCAUUUCCCCUCUAAUCUUCAGCGGGGAGGGACUUCCCAUCAAAAGAGCCGAUCCUUUCUGCGUGCCACGGAGCAGGUACUAAGCAAUCUAGAGAGAUGAGAGAAGGAUCAAGUCCAGCUGCUAUCAAAUCUCUUGUGACCGUUAACCUGAGUGUUUUCAUGGGGGAAAAGCAUGAGACACGACACACACCUGUGCCUAACGACUAAUGAAGACUCGUUUCCUGGAGACGAUAAUUCUGGAAAAGGAGGAGCCUCUGCAGCCGUGAGCCCUUGUCAUUCCUGGGGUUGAAGGGGGGGAUGACCUGGACCACUUUAAACACAGAGAGAUCAUGAGCGGGAUCAUAAGGGUAUACAAAAAAUAAAAAGGAUUAUUUCGAUUCUGGUUUUCGAGAUCAGGAGGGAGGCUGCCAUAGCAAUAUAUAGGAGGCAUUAGGGAGAGGAGGAACAAAGCCCAGACAGUUUAGGGCCCCAAAAUGAAGCUCUGAUCUAUCAAUGGGACACAGAGUUUUGAGGGUGUACCCUGGACGAGCUUGACUGAAAAGAGCCGUUUCUGUCUCUGCCAGUGAAAAAAUCCAGGUGGUGUGAAGGGCUUUGUGUUUUAUUGUUUGCUCUUCCUUACAGUCUAGCCUUUAUGUGGGUUUGUCCUCCUAGAGGGGCAAACAAACAUCUAAUCACCACAGUGCUCUCACACAUAGCUUUUGAAGACUCCCCGCCGAGCAGAAAUAAAUGCUGCCGGUUUGGGGUUUUGCGAGCCACGCGGCUGGCAAAUCCUCUGGCGUCCUGUCCUGGCUCGAAGGCAGGUGCAGCUGGACCUUGAGCCCGGAGUCGGUAACUACAGCAGCUCUCGGAGCCCGGCUCCACGCUGGCUGCAGUUACCUGAUCUCACUCGGAGUUCUAUGUUUUCGCCAACGUAAGAUGACCUCAAACUAAAUCCAAGACGCAUUUCAACAGCACGGUGAUUCUGGAUGCUUGCCCGCCACGCAUGUGCCCCAUUUGGGUCCUGGACAGUGAGGGCUCCCUGGAAAUGGCCCUCUGCAUCUGGUCCCUGACCUUGCUCUCGAGCCACUGAGGAGAGAGGCGGACAAGUCGGAUCCCAGCUGACUUCUGUGUGGAUGCCAUCUGUGAGUAGCUUGCAUAUUCCUGCCAUGGUCCUCGACACGCCUCGCGCAGGCGAGCACUCCCAGGGUCCUCUGUAUUCCCGCGUGUGCAAAGC